rnacentral:misc_RNA from 1 species
ACGAGUUUUAAUUGUUAGGUUAGAGUUGAGCUGGUUAAUCUAAUUAAUAUGUGCUUACUCUAAUCGAAAACAAGUCCACUCAUUACUUAACACUUGUGAACUUAUUCAUUACAAAACCAUUUAUAUUUUAUUUUUUGUUAUUGGAACGUUUGAUUAUUAAAAAGUUAAUA